rnacentral:misc_RNA from 1 species
GAUGUGAAGAAAGAUCUACACAUGAUUUUUAUUGAUUUGGAGAAGCUAAUGAUAGUGUUUUAAGAGAUGUCUUAUGGAGUGUAUUAGAACAAAAGAAGGUAUCUAUUAGGUAUAUACAAGUGUUAAAAGAUAUGUAUGAAAGAGCAAGUACUAUUGUGUGAACAGUAGGAGAGGACACAAGAGAUUUUUCGAUCUUAAUUGGAUUACACCAAAGAUCAGCUAUAAGCCCUUACCUUUUUAUAUUAGUUUUAGAUGAAUUGACGAA